AGAAAAUGUAGGAGAGAGGCAGCCCUGGGUUCGAAUCUUCCUACCUCAUUUCUUGUUGGUGUGGCCUUGUGUCUCCUUGCAUGGGAGGCUCUUAUGGUUUGGAAGUCAGGAACCAGCACAGUGUUCAGACCUACGCUCCUGGCAUUCGACUCGUUUCAUUUUCCAGUUUCUGGGAUUAACCUCCAAGCUGCUAUGAGGAUGCUGACUUUGAAAGGCAAUCCGGUCCACAAGCUCACCUCGUGCCCAUGAAGCUUCUGCCAGUGGUGCUCAAGAAGCAGCAGCAUCCCUCCAUGUGAAGGAGGAAGGUGAAACUGAGAAACAAGACGAUUUGGAGAUUGGGGCAGAGGGGAGGCGAGGCAGCAGGCAGCAGAGAAAUCUUCUUAUGUCUAAGGCAUAAAGUACUGUGCCUGGAAAAGAACGUCGUGAUGUUCCAAGAGGGGGCCGUGCAGAGAACAAGGCAGAGCUCUUAAACACUGAAAAUAAAGGGACAAAAGUAGAAGCAGAGUAAAGGAGAGAGAGAAAAAGAACACUGAAGACAAGAUGUUGUUUAACAUUUAAGAACUGGGGGCCAGCAAGAUAGCCCAGAGGGUAAGGGAGUUUGCAGCUGAAUCUGACUACUCUCUGACUCCCUGAGCUCAGUAGCUCCACAUGCUGGGAGGAGAGAACCAACUCCAAACUGUCCUCUGACCUCCACACUCCUGCCACUUCAUGUGCACACCCACACAUGCACUAGAUAAAUAAAUACAU